rnacentral:rRNA from 1 species
UUUGGAGGGCAAGUCUGGUGCCAGCAGCCGCGGUAAUUCCAGCUCCAAUAGCGUAUAUUAAAGUUGUUGCAGUUAAAAAGCUCGUAGUUGAAUUUCGGGAUCAAUAUUUCGGUCAUGCCGUUGGUAUGCACUGUUAUCAUUGAUUUCUCACCUUCUAAAGAACCGUGAUGCCAUUAAUUUGGUGUUACGGGGAAUUAGGACUGUUACCUUGAAAAAAUUAGAGUGUUUAAAGCAGGCUCACGCUUGAAUACAUUAGCAUGGAAUAAUGAAAUAGGACAUCCGAUUCUAUUUUGUUGGUUUCUAGGAUCGAUGUAAUGAUUAAUAGGGAUAGUUGGGGGCAUUAGUAUUCAAUUGUCAGAGGUGAAAUUCUUGGAUUUAUUGAAGACUAACUACUGCGAAAGCAUUUGCCAAGGAUGUUUUCAUUAAUCAAGAACGAAAGUUAGGGGAUCGAAGACGAUCAGAUACCGUCGUAGUCUUAACCAUAAACUAUGCCGACUAGGGAUCGGAUGAUGUUAAUUUUUUAAUGACUCAUUCGGCGCCUUACGGGAAAC